UAUUUUGGUGUGGCGCUCUGACGUCACAAGGCGGCGUCGCGCUCCUGCAUUUGUUGUGAUUCAACUGAGGAACGAGUGUUGAAGAACAACGAAAGUAAAGCUACUGAGAUCCAUGUGACGUAAAGAUGGCGUCUAUUAAAGAGGAGAGUGAAGACAUUAAGAUUGAAGAUACAAUCAGUGUGAAACAAGAAGAUACUGAGGAACAAACAGUGGUUUUAUUUGGCCUGGAGCGGGUGGACAGACGUGUUGAAAUCACAUGACCAGACAAAUACUAAUGCUGCCUUAGAGUAAAGCUGAGAAGAUCCUACUCCCAGGUUAAAGGAUUUGUUAACUUUCAAAUUAAAUUUUCUUGAUAAGUUACUCACCUCCAUGUCUUCCAAGAUGUUUAUGUAUUUCUUUUUUCAGUCGAAAAUAAAUUAAGGUUUUUGAUGAAAACAUUCCAGCAUGUGGUAGACGUCUUGGACUCCAAAUGGUUCAAGGUCAAAAUUACACUUUCAGUGCACCUUCAAAGGGUUAUAAACCAUACCAGAAGAUGAAUAAGGGUCUUAUCUAGCGAAACGAUUGGUCAUUUAAAAAUAUAAA